rnacentral:tRNA from 1 species
GGGCCCGUAGCUCAAGUGGUUAGAGCAUCCGUCUCAUACACGGCUGGUUGCAGGUUCGAGCCCUGCCGGGCCCA